GGACCCGUAGUCUAGCCCGGACAGGACAGAAGGUUCCGGACCUUCAAGCCCGGGUUCAAAUCCCGGCGGGUCCG
rnacentral:tRNA from 1 species